rnacentral:lncRNA from 1 species
AGGCAUUCCUCAGUGCCUGAUAUAUGGAUUCAUUUGAAAUUUUGGGAGCAUCAAGAUUCGUAAGCUAAGCUUUAAAGGGCAUAAGUUUCGCUAGAUUUGAAGACAAUUUGAAUUUUUAACGAAUUUCUAAGUGAAGGGGGUUGGUCGCCGCGGCAGUUUGGAUCACUCAACUUCAAAGGAGCAAUUCUCACGAUUGGAUCACUAGAUUGCAAUGAGAUUUGUUGAAGCAGGAGCAUCUUUAAGUUAACCUUGCAACAA